CCUUCCUUCCCUUCUUCCUUCCUUUCUGUAAAAAUAUUCCUAAGUUCCAAGAAGUACUUGAUUCUAUAGGUUCAAUUUGCUAUAUUUCUUGGGUAAGUAAUACCUAGGAAUUUAAUAAUAGAUUGUAUAUCUACAUGCAUCUCUGUGUGGCUAUUUAGGUGACUUGUAGGUGAGUUUUCUUAACAGGUGAUGCUGUUCCUUUAUUAUAGCAGCAUCUCCCUCCGGCAGCCUUACAACCUUUCACUGAUAUGAUCACUGAUACAAUCUGGUCUAUCAAGACUGGAAACAUUUCCUAAAAGAUGAAGCUAUCCAGGUGAGAUAGAACUUGGCUAAAAAUACAUCCUAUGUAUUUAGUCUGCUAAAUGGCAAUGGUUCUUAGUAGAGAAAAAUUUGCUAAGAAUUAUUAAUUUACUGAUUAGAUUUUAAAAAAGAACUUGAAUGCACAAAGAAUGACUAAGAUUUUCUGGUAGCACAGUAAGUUAAAUAUUAAAUGUAACUUAUAGACAUUCCGUACAUACAUCCAAUCUCAGAGGGAAAAUCUGCAGGUCUUUAGGUUUCUUUUUUGAAAAAAAAAUGAGAUUUUUCAAUAUACAUUUAACUUAUUUUUCUACUAAGAAUAGCAAAUUUCAAGCAAACCUGAAAUCAAGCUCUCUCUUCAAUAGUCAAUGAAGAAAUUAACAUUUUGGUAAUGGAUAAAGUAACUCGCCUCAAUAGAGCUGACUGUAAAAAUAAGAUUUCAAUAUUUUCAUCCUAAUAUCAAAGAAAAGCUUGCUUUUAUCCCUCCCUGGGGGGGGGAGUGAUCUUUGAAUAAUGAUGUUGGACAAUAGUUUAAAUCAAAGUAAUUUCUCUCGUGGGUCCAAGUGAAAGGGAGACAAUUUACUUUCAUUUAUUUUGAAUUGUAGUAAUGUUAAGCCAGUAUUCCCUUACCAUUGCUGCUAAAGAUGAGUAUUCCUCCUGAUUCAUUUUCUGUUACAAUGUCUCUCAACUCUGGCUGCAUCUUCAAUGCUUUUAGAGCUUUUUUAAAACACUAAUAUACUGAGUAAUAACCUAUAUGGGAAAAGAAUCUGAAAAGGAAUGGAUACAUGUAUAUGUAUAACUGAUUUACUUUGCUGUAUGCCUGGUAUCAACACAACUUUGCACAAUGAAAGUCACAAACUGUUAAGGGAGGUUGAAAGAAGUCAGUCAAAGGUAACUACCAAGGAGUUAAGAAAAAAUAGUCAACAAUACUAGGAGGUUCUAGAUUUAGCUCCCAGUUGGUUCAAGAAAUCCCAUUAAGAUAUGCUUCACAAUCCUAUUAAGAUAUGCUUCAUGAAAAAGUAUACAUGAAUUUCGGUUGUGGCUCCAAAUUUCCUGUUUUCCUCAGACUGGAAGGUACUUUUCAGAAAAUCAAUCAUAACUAAUACAGUGGUCAAGUGGUAGCUGGCAUUGAAAAAUGAAGGGUCUUAACUUAGAAUAUUAUAUAUAAAUGUAUUAUGUAUGUGUACUAUAUAUAUUAUUAUGAGUAUUAAAAGUUUUGAUGUAACAGAUGAUUUUUUAAAAAAAUACAUUAUAGGGAGUUCCCAUUGUGGCUCUUGGGUUACAAACCUGACUGAUAUCCAUGAGGAUGCAGUUUCGAUCUCUGGCUUUGCUCAGUGGGUUAACAAUCUGGCAUUGCUGUGAGCUGUGGUGUAGGUCACAGACGUUGCUGCAGCCGUGGUGUAGUCAGGCAGCUGCAGCUCUGAUUUGACCCUUAGCCUGGGAGCUUCCAUACACUGCAGAUGCAGCCCUAAAAAGCAAAAAACAAACAAACAAACAAAAAAAAAACAUAUAUAUAAAAUUUCUAAAUUACCUCAAGGAGAAUAGGCAUACACAGAUAUAUACAUAGGCACAUACACACACACAUAUCUAAACUAUAACAGACAGAUAUGAGAAAAAUUAAACAAAAAUAAUAAACUGUUGAAAAUAGAAGAAGCAUUAAAAACAGAGCAGGCAACAUAACACAAUCAGAAACUAAUAUAUGUGUUACAUCAAUAAACAAAAACUCAUUCAUUAUAUCAAAAAUAUAUGUUGUUUGAAAGAAAUGCAUUAAAACAUAUGAUUGAGAAAACUUAAGGUAAAAGAAUAAAUGAAGACAUUAUGAUGAACACUAAUUUAAGGAGAGGAAAAUAUCAUCUCAACCGAUGGAUAAAAUACACUUGGAAAAUAUUUAACACUCUUUAAUGAUUGCUGAAAACAAAGUGAAAGACAGAGAGAGAGAGGAGUUUUUAAGUCUGAUAAGUAUCUAAAACCCCCAGGGGAAAAAAAAAAAAUCAAACUUAAUAGUAAAAUACUGAAUACUCUUCCUCUGAGAUCUGGAAGAAGACAGAUACACUUCCCAAAAUACUGAUACCGGAAAGAUGGUACCAGAAUCCAGGUUCUUGGUUCACGGAGGCUGAAGAAUGAACUCCGCGAACACACAGGCAGCAAGCAAGCAAAGUCUUUAUUAAAGAAAAGCAAAUAGCUACCAGGACAGGCUGGGAGGGGGGUGAAGAGGCCCCCUUUCCUAUUGUUCUCUAGGGAUUUUUUUAUCUCUUAAAGGUGGGGAGGGUACCAGUGUGGGGUCCAGAAAGAUGUGGUUUUCUCCAAUUGGUCUUGCUCAAUUACCUUUAUCAGUCCUUGCCCAAUAGCGGUUUUAGGGUUGGAAAAGUCCCCUGUAAGUUUUAUGGGUUCUUUGUCCUUUUCUUUUCUUAGAUUAAGUGACCAUUCCUCUCAUUCCUUUUUUAUCAGUUGAGGAGUGGGCUAGAGAUUCACAUUUCCUACAGUAAACAAAAUCUGUGCGGAAUUUGCAUUUCCUAUAAUAAAACAAGGCCUGUGGAGGUGUUACUGCCUGGAGCCCUUAAACCACAAAUGUUAAUCAAUAUCCAUAUGAAAGGAAUGUAUCAGAGCCCAUGCUCCUACACUAACUAUGUGAGUGAGUUAAUAUUCUGCCUCAAUACUACUCUUCAACAUUGUCCUUAAGGGCCAAAUUUCAUAAUAACAAAAAAUAAAAGUCAUGUGGGGGGAAGAAAGCAACAAAACUUUCAUUAUUCACAGAUGAUAUGAUUGCAUAUGUAAAAAUAUGAAAGAAUCUAUAUAAAAUUAUGAAAAUAAGUUUUAGCAAAAUCAUUGAAUUAAUCAACAUAAAACUAUUGUAUUUCUAGAUUUCUAGAUUUUAGAAAAUAAGAAAUAAAUAAAAUAUACCAUUUAUACUAGCGGCGUAACAUACCAGAUGUAGAGGAAUGUAUGUCUAAAGAAAAACCUUAAAGUCCUCUAUAAAGAAUACUACACAAUAUUAUGAAAGAAAUUUAAAAAAUAAAUGGAGGUAUUACUAUGUUUUGAGCUGAAAUGUUAUACAUUAAAAGUGUCAGUCUUGGAAUUUCCCAUCGUUACUCAGCAGUAAUGAACCCAACAUAUCCAUUAGGACACAGAUUCAAUCCCUGGCCUCCCUCAAUGGCUUAAGGAUCCAGUGUGGCCAUGAGCUAUAAUGUAGGUCACAGAUGUGGCUCAGAUCCAGCACUGCUAUGGCUGUGGUAAAGGCCAGCAGCUACAGCUCCGACUCAACCCCUAGCCUGGAAAGUUCCAUAUGCCAUGGGUGCAUCCCUAAAAAG
rnacentral:lncRNA from 1 species